CCAAUAGCGUAUAUUAAAGUUGUUGCAGUUAAAAAGCUCGUAGUUGAAUUUCGGGAUCAAUAUGUCGGUCGUGCUUCGGUACGUACUUGCAUUAUUGGUUUCUCCCUUCUGAAGAACCAUAAUGUCAUUAAUUUGGUAUCUUGGGGAAUCAGGACUGUUACUUUGAAAAAAUUAGAGUGUUUAAAGCAGGCUCACGCUUGAAUACAUUAGCAUGGAAUAAUGAAAUAGGACGUUUUAUUCUAUUUUGUUGGUUUCUAGGAUCGACGUAAUGAUUAAUAGGGAUAGUUGGGGGCAUUAGUAUUCAAUUGUCAGAGGUGAAAUUCUUGGAUUUAUUGAAGACUAACUACUGCGAAAGCAUUUGCCAAGGAUGUUUUCAUUAAUCAAGAACGAAAGUUAGGGGAUCGAAGACGAUCAGAUACCGUCGUAGUCUUAACCAUAAACUAUGCCGACUAGGGAUCGGAUGAUGUUAAUUUUUUAAUGACUCAUUCGGCGCCUUACG
rnacentral:rRNA from 1 species